rnacentral:rRNA from 1 species
UACAGAGGUCUCAAGCGUUGUUCGGAUUCAUUGGGCGUAAAGGGUGCGUAGGCGGCGCGGUAAGUCGGGUGUGAAAUCUCGGGGCUUAACUCCGAAACUGCAUUCGAUACUGCCGUGCUUGAGGACUGGAGAGGAGACUGGAAUUUACGGUGUAGCGGUGAAAUGCGUAGAUAUCAGGAGGAACACCGGUGGCGAAGGCGGGUCUCUGGGCCGAUACUGACGCUGAGGAGCGAAAGCGUGGGAGCGAACAGG